GUUAGUAACUGAGAGCUACAGAAGGACACAACAACAACAAACAACACAAGUGUUACGCAAUCCAGUGCAACAUCAGUGCAAUAUGUUCGUCAUCAGAGAGGUAAGUCAUGGAUGUAUGUUUGUCAGAGGAGACGAUUCCUCUCUUUGGAUUCUUCUUAUUUUGUCGACCUUAAAUGUGCGACUGAUAUAAAAACAGCGUCUCUUUUUAUUAAAUCUGCAGAAACAUGUGGCUGUGCAAACAAACGACUGAGCCUGAUUCAAGGUCCGGUGACUCAGACCGGUGAUGACUUUUCCAGGAGUCGAGAUUUUACACCCACACAUGACAAGAAGAAUCCUUCAGUUUGAUUUUCUCAUCUCAGCAGUGAGUGUUUCAUGCAUUAUAAGCUGCUUACUGUGAAACAAAGGUCUGAAAUAUGAGCUUUUUUUCAUUAAAUACAUUGCGCACCAUUGUAGUCUCAGG